rnacentral:rRNA from 1 species
GGGUCGGCUGAUUGACGCUGGCGGCAGGCCUAACACAUGCAAGUCGAACGGUUACAGGAAGCUCUUGCUGCUUUGCUGACGAGUGGGGGACGGGUGAGUAAUGUCUGGGAAACUGCCUGAUGGACGGGGAUAACUACUGGAAACGGUUACUAAUACCGCACAACGUCACAAGACCAGGGAGGGGGACCUUCGGGCCUCUUGCCUUCGGAUGUGCCCAGAUGGGAUUAGCUAGUGGGUGGGGUAACGGCUCGCCUCGGCGACUAUCCCUACCUGGUCUGAGAGGAUGACCACCCACACUGGAACUGAGACACGGUCCCUACUCCUACCGGAGGCGGGGAAGGGGAAUAUUGGACAAUGGGCGCGAGCCUGAUGCGCCCAUGCCGCGUGUAUGAAGAAGGCCUUCGGGUUGUAAAGUACUUUCAGCGGGGAGGAAGGCGAUAAGGUUAAUAACCUUGUCCAUUGACGUUACCCGCAGAACAGGCACCGGCUAACUCCGUGCCCGCAGCCGCGGUGAUACGUGAAGGUGCAAGCGUUAAUCACAAUUACUGGGCGUAAAGCGCACGCAUGCGGUCUGUCAAAUGUGGAUGUGAAAUCCCCGGGCUCAACCUGGGAACUGCAUUCUGAAACUGGCAGAGCUAGAGUCUUGUAGAGGGGGGGUAGAAUUUCCAGUGUAGCGGUGAAAUGCGUAUAGAUCUGGAGGAAUACCCGGUGGCGAACGCGGCCCCCUGGACAAGACUGACGCUCAGUGCGAAAGCGUGGGGAGCAACAGGAUUAGAUACCCUGGUAGUCCACGCCCGUAACGAUGUCGACUUGGAAGGUCGUGCCCUUGAGGCGUGGCUUCCUGAGCUACACGUUACUCGACCGGCCUGGAGGAGUACCGCCGCGAGAUUAACUCAAUGAAAUGACGGGGGCCCGGCACAGCAGUGGACAUGUGUUUAUCAUGCACGCAGAGUAGCUUACUACUCUGACUGCGAGACCUAAGCAGAAUGCUUGGUGGCUU